rnacentral:rRNA from 1 species
GAUGAACGCUGGCGGCGUGCUUAACACAUGCAAGUCGAACGGAAAGGCCCAAGCUUGCUUGGGUACUCGAGUGGCGAACGGGUGAGUAACACGUGGGUGAUCUGCCCUGCACUUCGGGAUAAGCCUGGGAAACUGGGUCUAAUACCGGAUAGGACCACUUCUUGGAUGUUGUGGUGGAAAGUUUUUUCGGUGUUGGAUGAGCUCGCGGCCUAUCAGCUUGUUGGUGGGGUAAUGGCCUACCAAGGCGUCGACGGGUAGCCGGCCUGAGAGGGUGUACGGCCACAUUGGGACUGGGAUGCGGACCAGACUCCUACGGGAGGCAGCAGUGGGGAAUAUUGCAAAAUGGGCGCGAGCCUGAUGCAGCGACGCCGCGUGGGGGAUGACGGCCUUCGGGUUGUAAACUCCUUUCGCUAGGGACGAAGCGUUUUGUGACGGUACCUGGAGAAGAAGCACCGGCUAACUACGUG